GACACGAUGGCCAAUUGGUCAAGGCUAUAGAAGUAUGGAGUCCAUGGCGCAGGUUCGAAACCUGAUCCCGUCU